rnacentral:rRNA from 1 species
UCUGUAUGCAUUUAAUAUUUAGUCUGGCCUGCCCACUGAUUUUUAAAGGGCUGCGGUAAUUUGACCGUGCAAAGGUAGCAUAGUCAAUAGUCUCUUAAUUGGGGACUUGAAUGAAAGGUUUGACGGAAAGGGAACUGUCUCUUUUUAUUUUAUUGAAUUUAACUUUUAUGUGAGAAGGCAUUAAUGAUUUAGUGGGACGAUAAGACCCUAUAAAACUUAACAUAUUAUUUUAUUUAUAGAACUGUUUAAUGAUUAUUAAUUGGUGAUUGUGUUUUGCUGGGGCGGCGUGAAUAUAAUAAUUAAUAACUGUUCAUUAUGUGAAAUAUAAUUUUAUAGAUAUUGGUCCUUAAUUUAGGAGGUAAGAGUAAGUUACUUUAGGGAUAACAGCAUAAUUUUUCUUGAGAGUUCAUAUCGAAGGAAUUAGUUGUGACCUCGAUGUUGAAUUAAAUUUUUUCUUAGGUGUAGGAGUUUAAGGGUAGGACCUGUUCGGUCUAUAAAUAU